rnacentral:rRNA from 1 species
CCCUUAGAUGUCCUGGGCCGCACGCGCGCUACACUGACAUGUUCAACAAGCCUCCUAGUUCGACAGGAUUUGGGAAAUCUUUGAACGCAUGUCGUGAUAGGGAUAGAUCAUUGCAAUUAUUGAUCUUGAACGAGGAAUUCCUAGUAAACGCGAGUCAUCAGCUCGCAUUGAUUACGUCCCUGCCCUUUGUACACACCGCCCGUCGCACCUAUCGAUUGAAUGUUUCGGUGAAGAUUCCGGAUAGGACUUUUUUGAUUUAUUUCAAUUUUGUCUUAAAAGCUAUCUAAACCUCAACAUUUAGAGGAAGGUGAAGUCGUAACA